rnacentral:lncRNA from 1 species
GCCUCACUUUGAGAGUUUUUGGGUCACGUUUAUGGUCUUGGUUACAAUCUAUUAAUUUUGUUGCCUUAUUUUAAGUCUUUUGAAUGUCACCUUUGUGGUCUUGAUUGCAAUAUGUAAUAUGCUUUUAACUUUUGUGGUGAUUCAAGCUUGCUUUUGAGCUCUACUAAUGGAUAGGCUUCAUUUUAUUUUGGGAGAAUUUGUCACAAUGAGCUGG